UUUUGAUGGUGAUGGUGACUGACGACGUAGAUAGAUAAGCAGACAAUCAUCUAGAAUUUUUCUCUGAAGAGAAACAUUUGCACCAUUAUUUUAAGGUGUGGUGGAUGGUUGGAGGAGAUAUGACAUCGACCCUGGAAAGUUCUCUAGUUUCUUGAUGAGGACGCGUGAUUGUCUAGAGUCCACAGAGCGUUUCAGCACCACAGAACCUGCUUUGUUUCAGCACCACAGAACCUGCUUGUCUACUCUUGUGUAUCCUACUACGAGCCUUUAGAGAACAAGCAGCCCCGAUAUUGGGUGUGGUGUUGGUGGUUGGAGGAGAUACGGCAUCCACCCUGGAGAGUUCUCUAGUUUCCUGAUACUUUUUCUUUAGUUUCCUGGACUUGUGGAUCGUCUUGUGUCCACGGGGCGUUUCAGCACCACAGAACCUGCUAGUCUACUCUUGUGUAUUCUACUAUGAGCUGUUAGAGAACAAGCUGCCCAUAUUUGAUGUGACAAUUGGUGUUGGUGGUUGGAGGAGAUACAUUAUCGACCCCGGAGAGUUCUCUAGUUUCCUGAUGAGGACAUGUGAUCGUCUUGUGUCCACGGGGCGUUUCAGCACGACUGAACCUGCUAGUCUACUCGCGCGCAGCUACUACAAGCUGUUAGAGAACAAGC